AACGCACGAGACCUGCGGACCUGCGGAGGGAUCAUUACCGAGUUAUACAACUCCCAAACCCACUGUGAACCUUACCUCAGUUGCCUCGGCGGGAACGCCCCGGCCGCCUGCCCCCGCGCCGGCGCCGGACCCAGGCGCCCGCCGCAGGGACCCCAAACUCUCUUGCAUUACGCCCAGCGGGCGGAAUUUCUUCUCUGAGUUGCACAAGCAAAAACAAAUGAAUCAAAACUUUUAGCAAUG
rnacentral:misc_RNA from 1 species